rnacentral:rRNA from 1 species
GAUGAACGCUAGCGGGAGGCCUAACACAUGCAAGCCGAGCGGUAUUGUUUCUUCGGAAAUGAGAGAGCGGCGUACGGGUGCGUAACACGUGUGCAACCUGCCUUUAUCUGGGGGAUAGCCUUUCGAAAGGAAGAUUAAUACUCCAUAAUAUAUUGAACGGCAUCGUUUAAUAUUGAAGGCUCCGGCGGAUAGAGAUGGGCACGCGCAAGAUUAGCUAGUUGGUGAGGUAACGGCUCACCAAGGCGAUGAUCUUUAGGGGGCCUGAGAGGGUGAUCCCCCACACUGGUACUGAGACACGGACCAGACUCCUACGGGAGGCAGCAGUGAGGAAUAUUGGUCAAUGGGUGCAAGCCUGAACCAGCCAUCCCGCGUGAAGGACGACUGCCCUAUGGGUUGUAAACUUCUUUUGUAUAGGGAUAAACCUACCCUCGUGAGGGUAGCUGAAGGUACUAUACGAAUAAGCACCGGCUAACUCCGUG